CCUACGUGAGGCAGCAGUGGGGAAUAUUGGGCAAUGGGCGAAAGCCUGACCCAGCAACGCCGCGUGAAGGAAGAAGGCUUUCGGGUUGUAAACUUCUGUUGACAGGGAAGAGCAGAAGACGGUACAUGUCGAAUAAGCCAGGGCUAACUACGUGCCAGCAGCCGCGGUAAUACGGAGGUGGCAAGCGUUAUCCGGAUUUACUGGGGGGAAAGGGAGGGCAGACGGCGGUGCAAGUCUGGAGGGAAAGGCGGGGGCCCAACCCCCGGACUGCUCUGGAAACUGUAAAGCUGGAGUGCAGGAGAGGUAAGCGGAAUUCCUAGUGUAGCGGUGACAUGCGUAGAUAUUAGGAGGAACACCAGUGGCGAAGGCGGCUUACUGGACUGCACCUGACGUUGCGGCUCG
rnacentral:rRNA from 1 species